AGGAUUAGAAGAAAAGGAGGACGUCAAAUUACCCUGGAAUUCUGAGAGUAUCUCCGAGAGUGAACUACCGAACCGUGUUGUUCAUUUAUCUGGAGCUGCAGGUCUAGGAGAAAAAAAGACAUUAAAUGGACAAGUAGAAAAUUUCAAUAUUGAAAACUCAGUAUACAUUCUUUCUUGCAUGAGUGGAUCAAGAAACUUUGACGGCUAGAGGAUCCAAGAAAUGUUCUACUGGAAAAUGUCCUCACCUGAAGCCUGCAGUUGGAGUGAAAGAUUCUGUUCCUAAAAAAACAGGAGCAAUGAAGAAUUUACAAAGAUUCAAAUCAGGUUCUUCAGACUGGGUUUCUACUAGUUUGAGCCUGAAUAAUGAGGCUGGUCAAAGAGCCAAGCAUUUGAAAGUUGGCAAAUGUCCGUUGGCAUCACAAUCAGUGACCACAAACCAGUCAGCACCCACAGAACUGAGGCAGACGGCCCUGGUAGAUAAAGACCGGAUGAAUAUUGGAGCCGUGUCUCUGUCAGAAAAUGCAGCGCUCCGUGGCCUGUGUGAGUCACAGCUGCCAGAGAACAGAAGCCGCAAAGAAGCAGACCUAGACUUAGAAAGGACAUUUGAGGAA